rnacentral:rRNA from 1 species
UACGGAGGGUGCAAGCGUUAUCCGGAUUUACUGGGUUUAAAGGGAGCGUAGGCUGUUUAGUAAGUCAGUGGUGAAAGCCCCGUGCUUAACUUGGGAAUUGCCAUUGAUACUGCUAAUCUUGAGAGUGUUUGAGGUGGACGGAAUAUGGCAUGUAGCGGUGAAAUGCUUAGAUAUGCCAUAGAACACCGAUUGUGAAGACAGUUCACCAAACCAUUUCUGACGCUGAGGCUCGAAAGCGUGGGUAGCGAACAGG